rnacentral:rRNA from 1 species
CCCUACGGGGGGCAGCAGUGGGGAAUAUUGCGCAAUGGCCGAAAGGCUGACGCAGCGACGCCGCGUGGGGGAUGAAGCAUUUCGGUGUGUAAACCCCUGUUGCCCGGGACGAACAACUGGUUUCGACCAGUCUGACGGUACCGGGUGAGGAAGCACCGGCUAACUCCGUGCCAGCAGCCGCGGUAAUACGGAGGGUGCGAGCGUUGUCCGGAAUCACUGGGCGUAAAGGGCGCGUAGGCGGUCUGCUAAGCGUGCGGUGAAAGCCUGGGGCUCAACCCCAGGUCUGCCGUGCGAACUGGUGGACUUGAGCACUGUAGAGGCAGGUGGAAUUCCGGGUGUAGCGGUGGAAUGCGUAGAGAUCCGGAAGAACACCGGUGGCGAAGGCGGCCUGCUGGGCAGUUGCUGACGCUGAUGCGCGACAGCGUGGGGAGCAAACAGGAUUAGAUACCCUUGUAGUC